UUUAGUCAGGCAACGAGCGAGACCCGUGCCCACUGUUACCAGCAUGUCCUCCGGGAUGAUGGGUACUCUGUGGGGACCGCCGGUGUUAAAUCGGAGGAAGGUGCGGGCCACGGUAGGUCAGUAUGCCCCGAAUUUCCCGGGCUACACGCGGGCUACAAUGGAUGGGACAAUGGGUCCCUUCCCCGAAAGGGGUUGGUAAUCUCACAAACCCAUUCGUAGUUCGGAUCGAGGGCUGUAACUCGCCCUCGUGAAGCUGGAAUCCGUAGUAAUCGCGUUUCAAUAUAGCGCCGUGAAUACGUCCCUGCUCCUUGCACA
rnacentral:rRNA from 1 species